rnacentral:rRNA from 1 species
UGGGGAAUUUUGCACAAUGGGGGAAACCAUGAUGCAGCGACGCCGCGUGAUUUAGAAGGCCUUCGGGUUGUAAAAAUCUUUUCUAUGGGAAGAAAAUGACAGUACCAUAGGAAUAAGGACCGGCUAAUUACGUGCCAGCAGCCGCGGUAAUACGUAAGGUCCGAGCGUUGUCCGGAAUCAUUGGGCGUAAAGGGUACGUAGGCGGGUAAGCAAGUUAGAAGUGAAAUCCUAUAGCUCAACUAUAGUAAGCUUUUAAAACUGCUCAUCUUGAGGUAUGGAAGGGAAAGGGGAAUUCCUAGUGUAGCGGUGAAAUGCGCAGAUAUUAGGAGGAAUACCGGUGGCGAAGGCGACUUUCUGGCCAUAACCUGACGCUGAGGUACGAAAGCGUGGGUAGCAAACAGG